ACCCUGUUGUGGGUAUAGAGUCUGAAAAACUCAGACGUUGUGUGUUAUCAUCAGCUUCUUCUCCCCAUUUACAAGAUUGGAGUUAAAUAAUAGCACUACGUUC